ensembl:lncRNA uncharacterized LOC115178331
CAAUAUCCCAUGAGCUACUUUCCACCGUUGUGCUCUUCAGCAAGGCCUUUUUACCCUAGAUCUCAAAAAUAGAAUUAAAUUAAGGAUUGUUGUUUAUAUUGUGUAUAAUGUUCAAUACUGAUGGUUGAUGAGGGAGUGGUGGUUGAGAAGGGGCUUUGAUGACAUAGACGCCACUUCCUCUGUCUUUAAAAGUCAGACCGACAGAGAGACAGCAGUAACCAGGGUUUAAGUGUUGGAGAUGUUACUGCACUGGUGUCUGCUGUUGAUCGGUGUCUCUCUCAGCACAUCAACCACAGCAGCAGAAGCCAUUCUCUGGGUGAAGACAGGGGAGAAGUUUACCAUGAAGUGCUCCACCACUCUAAAAGACCAGGACGGAAUGUACCUGUAUGUUGGGCUGGACAGGGACAGGGAGGUGUUGUAUUACUACCAGCGUGACUCCAAGCUGACCCCCAGGAAAGGCUACUGGGAGAGAGUGAAGACUGAGGGACCUGUGGACCAACUGACCAUCAUCGUCAGUAACCUGACCAUAGAGGACACAGGAGUCUACUGGUGUGUUUACACAAAAGUCAACAAAUCCACGUUCAAUAUUUUUAGCACCCAAGGCAAAGGCUCCACUCUGGUGGUGGUGAAUGACGAUGCCCCACAGCUGCCAUGUCCUACAGCUACUGCAGUAACGCUGACCCCCUUUCACCCAGCCAAUGAGAAGCCAUGCCCAUCUGGCAUGGUAAACAUCAUCAUCAUCAUCAUCAUCACCAGCCUCUUGACCAUCCUGCUGUGUGCCAUCUUCCUCAUCUGUCUCCCUCCACGGGUGAAGAGGUGCUGUAACCAGGGAUGAUCCACACCACAGGUCUUUCCUGACUCGGUCUAUGUAGAAAUGGCCAAGAAUCACAUUUAUCAACCAGACACACAGCAGGUAGAAUCGUACCCCUAUUCUGCGUCUACCAAAGGAGGAACUAGGACUACUGAGUAGCUUCUUCAAAUGACUUUUCUGAAUAUUGCUUCUUUGCUUUUUCAGAAUUGAAAAGCCUGUUCUGCUGUAUUUCACAGUUCUAGCCUCAAUGCAAGUCUUAGUGGUAAAUUGUUUGUAUGUGUCGCACCAUACCAUGCUUAUGUGUGUGAAUAAAAUCUCUAUAUGGAAAGUAUAGGAGGGAACAGCCAAUGUUAUAUUCCAGGGCUAUUCAACUAUAUUCUUACGGGGGCCAGAUGUAAAAAAGGUUAAUUGCAGGGGGGCCGGACAUUUUCCACAUGCGACACACACACACAAAUAAAGCACUUUUCUUCUAAUGAAAUGGUGCUAAAAGUAGUUAGGGAAGAAGUGGAAAGUGCUCGAUCAACGUGAGUUUAUGUGCAACCAAAAAAAUUUCUCCUCAUUGAACAGGCCCAAUGCUUGCUCACCAUUUUAUCUAUUAAAAGAUUCUUAGAAGUAAUUUAGACAACAACCAUAGUGCUUUUCAUUUUGGCACUAAACUUCGGAUUUUGAUGCAAAUCUUUUAUGAAUGGUCAGAAUUGAUCAAAGGGCCAGUCUAAAUUACUGAAUGGGCCGGAUCUGGCCCAUGGACCACCAGUUGAAUAUCCCUGUUUUAGUCCAUAAGGUGUACAGUUGAUAGUGAUGGAGGCCUCUCUAUAACUUUUUUCAAUACAUCAGGUCAUAAGAUUUAUAUUGGUUUUAGUUCUGAACAAUAGUGUCGGCUGUGUUGUUCUCUAGUGUUUUUAGGUGAAAAGCUGUUCCUGUGCAUGGUGUCUGCCACAAAGUUAAAAUGAGAACUGUUUGUUAAGACUUUUAUUAUAUUUUAUCAUAGGUACAAAUAUUUUAGCUGCCUAAACUUCAUCAGGUACAUCAGGAUAUAAGCCAUUUUUACAUUACAUUUGAUUAUUCUAUGGUUUUAGUUGAGAUAGCUAGUAGGUUAAAACCAUAAUGAUCUGAGUAAAAAUGUUUCAUGAAAAAAUAAUUAUUCAUUUUUACCAAGUGACGAAGUAUUUGUCUUACACUAUGAGUCCCUUUUUUACUUAUGUUUCAACUUCCUAACAGCUUUUUUCACUUUAAAAUAGUUGUAACUGUGUAUUGUAUCUUUUUAAAGGAAGAAAAUAUUCUCACCAUUUGCCUUUUAAUCAAAGUAUUGAUAUAUUCAUGUGUAAUUUAACUUGUGUAUUGAUGUUUAUGUUGUAUUUGUGUAUGUGGUACGCAUUGGGGAUGUUCAGCUAUAUUGUAUGUUUUGGAAAGCUUUCUAUCUCAACCAAGUGAAGACAAGUUCAGACAGGGAACCAGAGUAUUUGCAUCAGCUGAUAUUGCACCAAUUAGAUUCACUCUACCGCUUUCUGACCACCCACCCCAGACUCCAUCUGCCUUGUUCGCUGUUUAUUAUUAUUAUUAUUGUCAUUAUUAUUAUUAUUAUUAUGUCAUCAUUACGCAUGCUCUGACAGUGAGCUACCCCAAAGGAGCAGAGCCUAACGCCAAGAGUAACAUAUAGAUGUGUUUUAAUAUUUUCUAAUAAAUGUCCCAUUAAAAUGUCAAUAUACAUGAGCAGCAUCAUGAAGUUGUUUUUUCAACAUACUAUCUUCUACAAUCAUAUCCAAAAUCAUAACAAUAAGUCAAGUACUCUAUUAAUGUCACACAUAUCCUGUAAGCCAGACCUCCGUGUGCUGCUGGUGACAGUGGCUUCUGAUGUGGUGGCAGCAGACACAUGCGAAACUAUACCCAACACCUCAGGGGAACAUAAAUGCAUCUCUUUUACACGCCAUCAUUUUCAGAAACCAGUGAGUGAAUAACUCAACAACCAAACACACAGAGCCUACCCUGCAUGGCAUACGAAUAUGGAGCGCAGGCUGUAUCCCCACUCUCACACACUCUACUAGUUAUUUAUUAUGGAGAGACAUGUUGAGAGAGAAGUGUGUCUUAAAAGUCAAACUUUUUCUUAACGUAUAAAUCUUACUCUUAAUCAGAAUUCUUAAGGCCGAUGUUGUUUUGUGUCUUCUACAACGGGUUGGUCAAAUCAAGCAUUGUGGUUGGUUGAGACGCGCUCUACAAAGAACCAGUUUAGCACGGGUAGACCUAUAACGCAAACACGAGCAUCUUGUUUUCUGUUCCAUCUGAGAAAUCCCUGCGCAUCCACUGUCCCAUCAGCCCAGCCGGCCAAUUGAUUAACUGGAUCGCCACUGUACAAAGCAUCUAGACAUUACUUCCCCUUGCUUAUAGCCUAAAGUUUGGUUUGCAACAACGGGGGUUUGUAUAAAUGUUGUUGUCUGUCUCUCGAAAUUUGCAAAACUAUUUCAAUAUUGAAAUUCGAUUCCCACUGUCCUGUUUGAUUUGAUUUAUUAGGAUCCCCCUUAGCCGACGCCAAUGACACCUGCUACUUUUACUGGGGUCCGACAUUACAGACAAAAGACUUUACGAUUUACAUUUACAUUUAAAAACAUUAACAUGUAGUGUGUGUGUGUGUGUGUGCGCAUCUAUUAGUUACACAUACAUGUCAGUAUAUACACAACACCAAGUGGGUCAUGGGGAGAGGCAUUGUGCUGUGAGGUGUUGCUUUAUUUGUUUUUUAAACCAGGUUUGCUGUUUACUUGCGCUAUAUAAGAUGGAAGGGAAUUCCAUGCACUCAUGGCUCUGUAUAAUACUGUAUGCUUCCCUUUUCUGGACCUGGAGACUGUGAAAAGACCCCUGGUGGCAUGUCUGUUGGGGUGUGUGUUAUGUGUUAUGUGUGUAAGUUGACUAUGCAAACUAUUUGGAAUUUCCAACACGUUGUUUCUUCUAAAAACAAGAAGUGACGCAGUCAAUGUUUCCUCAACUCUUAGCCAAGAGAGACUGGCAUGCACAGUACUAAUAUUAGCCCUCUAAUUACAAUGGAGAGCAAAACAUGCCGCUCUGUUCUGGGCCAGCUGCGUCUUAACUCGGUCUUUCUUUGCAGCACUUGACCAUAUAACUGGACAAUAAUCAAGAUAAGAUUAAACUAGAGCCUGAAGGACUUGUUCUGUGGAGUGUGGUGUCAAAAAAGCAGAGCAUCUCUUUAUUACAGACAAACCUCUCCCCAUCUUUUCAACCAUUGAAUUUACACUGAACAAAAAUAUAAAUGCAACAUGUAAAGUGUUGGUCCCAUGUUUCAUGAGCUGAAAUAAAAGAUCCCAGAAAUGUUCCAUAUGCCCCAAAAAUGUUUUACACAAAUUUGUUUAUGUAAUGAAAAUUAUAUGACUAAAGGUUUGACUAAAUGAUUUCACCCUGAAAAUGUAUAACCGAGUGAUUAUAAGAUGAAGGUACUAAUGUGUGUGUGUGUAGGAAAAGUUGAAGCUUAAGGAUUUAGCAAUGUAAGCAAGACAUUCAAGGAAAAAGGGGAACUGUUAACAGACAGCAGACAACUUGUGACUACUGUGAAACUGAUAACAGGAAGAAGGUCUCCCCACACAGGGAGGGGAGAAACCGUUAGGCUUGCAGUAGAUUAUGUAACAUGGGGCAGGAUAUGAUAAGCAAUGUAUGUGACGGAGAAGACUUGUAAAUAAGCAUUGACAGUGUUAACCUGUUUGGGAUAGGGGGCAGUAUUUUCACGGCCGGAUAAAAAACGUACCCGAUUUAAUCUGGGUACUACUCCUGCCCAGAAACUAGAAUAUGCAUAUAAUUUGUAGAUUUGGAUAGAAAACACUCUAAAGUUUCUAAAACUGUUUGAAUGGUGUCUGUGAGUAUAACAGAACUCGUAUCUGAUGCAGAUCAUCAAAUGUUAG